rnacentral:rRNA from 1 species
ACUCCUACGGGAGGCAGCAGUGGGGAAUAUUGCACAAUGGGCGCAAGCCUGAUGCAGCCAUGCCGCGUGUGUGAAGAAGGCCUUCGGGUUGUAAAGCACUUUCAGUCGUGAGGAAGGUGGUAGUGUUAAUAGCACUAUCAUUUGACGUUAGCGACAGAAGAAGCACCGGCUAACUCCGUGCCAGCAGCCGCGGUAAUACGGAGGGUGCGAGCGUUAAUCGGAAUUACUGGGCGUAAAGCGCAUGCAGGUGGUUGUUAAGUCAGAUGUGAAAGCCCGGGGCUCAACCUCGGAAUAGCAUUUGAAACUGGCAGACUAGAGUACUGUAGAGGGGGUAGAAUUUCAGGUGUAGCGGUGAAAUGCGUAGAGAUCUGAAGGAAUACCGGUGGCGAAGGCGGCCCCUGGACAGAUACUGACACUCAGAUGCGAAAGCGUGGGAGCAAACAGGAUUAGAUA